GACGAACGCUGGCGGCGUGCUUAACACAUGCAAGUCGAACGGAAAGGCCCUGCUUUUGUGGGGUGCUCGAGUGGCGAACGGGUGAGUAGCACGUGAGUAACCUGCCCUUGACUUUGGGAUAACUUCAGGAAACUGGGGCUAAUACCGGAUAGGAGCUCCUGCUGCAUGGUGGGGGUUGGAAAGUUUCGGCGGUUGGGGAUGGACUCACGGCUUAUCAGCUUGUUGGUGGGGUAGUGGCUUACCAAGGCUUUGACGGGUAGCCGGCCUGAGAGGGUGACCGGCCACAUUGGGACUGAGAUACGGCCCAGACUCCUACGGGAGGCAGCAGUGGGGAAUAUUGCACAAUGGGCGGAAGCCUGAUGCAGCAACGCCGCGUGCGGGAUGACGGCCUUCGGGUUGUAAACCGCUUUCGCCUGUGACGAAGCGUGAGUGACGGUAAUGGGUAAAGAAGCACCGGCUAACUACGUG
rnacentral:rRNA from 1 species